rnacentral:rRNA from 1 species
GGAUUGACGUAAUGGUCGUGCCUUAAGGGGUAUGAACUGUUGCUGUUGAUUCCUCCUUCCUGAUGAGCCGUAAUGCCAUUAAUUUGGUGUUGCGGGGAAUUUGGACUGUUACUUUGAAAAAAUUAGAGUGUUUAAAGCAAGCUAACGCUUGAAUACAUUAGCAUGGAAUAAUGAAAUAGGACGUUCGAUCCUAUUUUGUUGGUUUCUAGGAUUGACGUA